rnacentral:rRNA from 1 species
UUAACACAUGCAAGUCGAACGGUAACAGGCCUAGCUUGCUAGGUGCUGACGAGUGGCGGACGGGUGAGUAACGCGUGGGAAUCUACCUUGCAGCGGGGGACAGCCAGGAGAAAUUCUGGCUAAUACCGCAUACGCUCUACGGAGGAAAGCCGGGGAUCUUCGGACCUGGCACUGCAAGAUGAGCCCGCGUCGGAUUAGCUAGUUGGUGGGGUAAUGGCUCACCAAGGCGACGAUCCGUAGCUGGUCUGAGAGGAUGAUCAGCCACACUGGGACUGAGACACGGCCCANACUCCUACGGGAGGCAGCAGUGGGGAAUAUUGGACAAUGGGCGCAAGCCUGAUCCAGCAAUGCCGCGUGUGUGAAGAAGGCCCGAGGGUUGUAAAGCACUUUUCUGAGGGAACGAAACCGGGUGUGGUUAAUAACCGCACAAUUGACAGGUACUUCACAGAAUAAGCACCGGACUAACUCCGUGCCAGCAGCCGCGGUAAUACGGAGGGUGCAAGCGUUAAUCGGAACUUACUGGGCGUAAAGGGUACGUAG